rnacentral:rRNA from 1 species
AGGAUAAACGCUGGCGGCGUGCAUGAGACAUGCAAGUCGAACGGACACUCGGGGCUUGCUCCGAGUGUUAGUGGCGGACGGCUGAGUAACGCGUAGGUGACCUGCCCCGAAGUGGGGAAUAACUGCCCGAAAGGGUGGCUAAUACCGCAUGUGGUGGAACGUUCAUUCGUUCCAGUAAAGCCGCAAGGCGCUUCGGGAGGGGCCUGCGUCCGAUUAGCUCGUUGGUGGGGUAACGGCUCACCAAGGCGACGAUCGGUAGGUGGUCUGAGAGGACGAUCACCCAGACUAGGACUGAGACACGGCCCAGACUCCUACGGGAGGCAGCAGUCGGGAAUUUUGCGCAAUGGACGAAAGUCUGACGCAGCAACGCCGCGUGAGGGAUGACGGCCUUCGGGUUGUAAACCUCUUUUAUCAGGGACGAUAAUGACGGUACCUGAUGAAUAAGUCACGGCUAACUACGUGCCAGCAGCCGC